CAGAGGGACCGGCGAACGUCGCCGAGCGCAGCUUCUGUCAUCAUGCCGAUCACUGGUCUAAAAUCGGGACGAAGUUUUUACGCGUGGCAUUAACCCGCCGUCUCCCCCACUCCCUCCGACAACAUGGAGUACUGGAGGCAGUGUGCGAUGUGGCUGAUCAGCUGCAACGUGCUGCCGGCGAACCACCGGGUGACUGCGGACAGGGCGCAGGUGUUCGAUCUGGCGCAAACCCUGCGGGACGGGGUGCUGCUGUGCCAGCUGCUGAACAACCUGAGGCCCCAGACUAUCAACCUGAAGGAGAUCAACCUCCGGCCACAGAUGUCACAGUUCCUGUGCUUGAAGAACAUCCGCACAUUCCUGACGUCUUGCUGUGAUGUGUUUGGGAUAAAGAAGAGCGACUUAUUUGAAGCCUUUGAUCUCUUUGACGUUCGAGACUUCGGAAAGGUUAUGGACACUCUAUCCAAGCUCUCCCACACAACAAUUGCACAGCAAGCAGGAUUCAAGCCAUUUCCAACAGAGGAGAGCCUAAAAGAUGAGGAAAUCUACAAUAAUCUGGAGGACUUGAUUGAUGAAAAUGUCCUCGAGGACGAGGGCGAGGACGACUUGUACGCAGCGGUCUACGGGCUUGAAGAAGACUACGCAGGUGGGGAGAUCUAUGAAGAUCUCAUGAGGACCGAGCAGCCUCCCCCACUGAAGCAGGCAGAGGUAGAUGUCCGCAGCUGCUGCCUUACAGAGAUCAAACAGACGGAGGAGAAAUACACAGAGACCCUGGAGUCCAUCGAGAAGUAUUUCCUGAAUCCUCUGAAGAAGUUCUUCUCUGCAGCUGAAAUUGACAAAGUUUUUGUCAACAUUCCAGACCUGGUUAAAGUUCACAAGAGCCUGAUGGUUGAUGUGCAGGACUCCAUCUUGAACAAAAAUGCCUUAAAUCUCUACCAGAUUUUUAUCAGAUACAAAGAGAGACUGCUCAUUUAUGGGAUAUACUGCAGUCGGGUGGAGAUCGCCAUCGCUGUUUUAGACCUCAUUUGCAAAGAGAAAGAGGAUGUUCGCCUGAAGCUGGAGGAGUGUUCCAAAAGGGCCAACAAUGGGAAGUUUACACUGAGGGACCUGCUGGUUGUCCCGAUGCAGAGAGUCCUCAAGUACCAUCUCCUUCUUCAGGAGCUAGUCAAACACACUCACGAUGCUGCUGACAAGAGCAACUUGAAGAUUGCUCUUGAUGCCAUGAAAGACCUGGCUCAGUAUGUCAACGAGGUGAAGAGAGAUAAUGAGACUCUAAGGGAGAUCGACCAGUACCAGAGGUCUAUCGAAAACUUGAAUCAGCCUCUAAUCACCUUUGGUCGCCCGAAAGGAGACGGAGAGGUGCGCAUGAUCUCCAGUGUCGACAGGAGGAGACAAGACAGACACAUCUUUUUAUUUGAUGUGGCUGUCAUUGUUUGUAAGAGACGCGGCGACAACUAUGAGAUGAAGGACAUACUCGACCUCAACUACUUCAAGAUCACAAACAACCCCACCUCUGACAGAGAGGGCAAAAAGUGGUGCUACGGUUUCUACGUGACUCACCAGCAGGGGUACACAGGCUUUGAACUCUUCUUUAAGACCAGAGAGCUGAAGAAGAAGUGGCUGGAUCAAUUUGAAAUGGCCAUAUCAAAUAUCCGACCAGAAAAAGCCAACCACAACUCCCACCAGUUCAAGAUACACACAUUUGAAAGGAUCACUUCGUGUAACUUCUGUCACCUCCUGCUCAGGGGCAUCUUUAACCAGGGUUAUCUCUGUGUAAAAUGUGGGCUAGGGGCUCAUAAGGAGUGUCUGGGUCGACUGGGAGUGUGUGGGAGAACAGAUUCUGCCAAGCCGAGACCCAAGGAAAACACAGCACCACCAGACCCAGGUUUACCCAGGAUGGUUGUGAUCAGAGACUACAGUGGCAUCCCCCAUCCCCAGUGCGGGCCCCCACUAAGCAUUCAUGCAGGGGAUGUCAUUGAACUGAUGUUUGCCGACCUGCACAGCUCCUGGUGGCAGGGCAAAAUUCUGGCAACAAGCAAGAUUGGCUUCUUUCCAAGUGACGCUGUGAGGCCUUGCCCAUGUGUUCCAAAACCUGUCGAUUACUCUGCCCAGCUCUGGUUUGCAGGACCUAUGGAGAGAUACCAGGCUGAGGUGGAGCUCCUGGACCGAGGAAACAGCACCUAUCUGGUUCGACACAGGAGUAAAGAAUGCACUGAGUAUGCCAUCAGUAUAAAGUAAGUGAAAUAUUCACAUAGAAUAUAUCGGUAAGACUUGUUUAACAGCAAUAUUUGAAAUAUGAGAGGGUAACAAAUAUCCCAACUGAUUCUUGAUUGUUAUUGGUCCUUAAGACAUGCGAAUAGAGUUUGUUGGCGCAGUUUUAGUGUCUGUGUAGUACGCCUUCCUGCAAGACAGUCAACAUGUUUGCCUCAAGAAACACUGAAUAAAUACUCUGAGUUGUAGCGCGUCGUUGCCUGGAAUUAAUCUAGGUAUGUUUUGUAUGAAACAAGACAGCAAGUGAUAACGCAGCUUGUUUUCAAUUUAUUUCCAUACUGAAUCUCCUACAGUUUUUCACUCAUCACAGUUUACCAAGAAUAAUGGAAUAAACAAAACACAUGCAGUCAGCAGCAGACUUGUGUGCAAAAAAACACCUUAUUGUGAGAGGCGAGUGGCAAGAAUCAUUCGAGCAAACAAAAUGCCCACAUGCAAAUAACAUCAGCAAUGGUGGAGAAUCUGACAACAAACAGCUCAUCAAAUGUUGAAGUGGGAUGAUGGGCUACAGCUCAAGGAGAUCCUGCUGUGUUCCACUCAUGCCAGCGAAGAACAAGAAGUUAUAGUGACUAUAUAAACAUCAGCAGUCUGUAACUGAAGAAUGGAAAAAAAUUUUUUUUUUGCCUGGUCUGAUGAAUCACAGUUGACGCUGGUACAGCAGAUGGUGGGGGACUGAAUUAAGUUUAAAGGGUUGGUUCAAGCAAAUUACAAAAAAAAAACAAAACAUCUUACUUACCCCUUGUGGUAUCAAGCCAUGCGAAUAGCUUCCAGUUUUUAAGAUAUUUGUCUCAGACAUUUUCUUCACCCACAACAAUUCUUUAAGUCUCUAACAGCUGCUAUACUGAUGAGCAGAAAACACGCUAUUCCCAGCCUGCCAGCCUGCUACGCAUUACUAGUAGCUGCUGCUGAGAUAGCUCAUUUCAUGUCAGAUAAUCCUGUUAAAGGAAAUUUCCAUUAUGCCAGUCAUGUUGUGUAAAGAAACUGCACAAAUAGAGAAAGUAUUAGACCCAGUGUUAAAUGUCACCGUAUUUCUUUAAAUAAACAUCAAAGAGAUAUAUUGAUAUCUGCAAUUUAAAGUUUUAUGGUCAGAGAGACAACUACAGAAGAAGGGACCACUGUUGUCUGUUAAACUUAGAGCCCCGAAGAGUUCACAAGGUGUUGCGGUGAUCAAGCUAUGACUUUCAUAGUUUUAAAAGUUAACCACAGACCCUUCGAAGCAAGGAAAAAACUGGAGUAAGUCUUUGCUUUAACAACAAGUCAAAGUGUUUUUUUCCUAAAUUACUUUGCAAUGAAUAAAGGUGUUCUUUGAUGUUAAAGGCAUUGAUAGUUACAAACAAACAAAGGGAAAAAAAAAAAUCACCCAAACACAGAAACUUAAGUGCUACAGGGCAUGAGCCAAAUGAGUUACAGGUGCGUUGGUAGAAGCUGAGAGGGUGGGAGGGCUAUAAAAGCAGAUCAAUGAGGAGGCACUGUGAAAAGCUAUCCACUACAGGCUGCCUAGCUGCCUUCACAAUGAAAUAUAUAUGGAGAAUCAGAACUGCUCAGAAAACACCCUCUCAAAAUUACCCACAUGGAGCACCUAAUAUUAAUAUGGAUUAGUGGUGGACACAUCGUUCGUUGUCAUUUCCUCCGGUGGUUGACUCAGUCCCUACAUCUCAACUGAAUCCAGCAUAAGGAAGAGGCGGCAUUGGGUGAUCUAUUUUACCACCUAUCUAUUGUCUUAGUCAUCCAUUCAGACAUAUGUUCAAGGAAUGCCCGAUAGCUUUAAUCAUACUAUUUUGCUGUUCUUUGGCUAUCAAUCUUAGAAAUGUAUUUCAAAAGAAGGCGAGCAAAGCACUUGAAUUGUAGAUAAAACAUUCAUUCCUUUAGGCCUCAAUAAAUGUCUGCUUUAUCUGCAAGUUGAGUGCCUCCGUAUCCGUCUUUUGAAAUACAAUGCUUUCCAUUUAACUUGUGAAUAUCUCCCAGGCUACAUCAAAGCAUGUUCAGUCUUUAAAAACAAAAAAGAAAGGACUAUUGAGUCCUUCUGACCUGGCAUGACAGCGCCAAGAGAUUAUAGUGAUGAAGGGUGCACUCUGAAAUAGUGUUUGGACGUUAGGACUAUUUAGCCAGUGACACACCAUUCCAGCCCAUUUGGUCUGGUGGACUCAUACUGUCCCUCGUUCAAAGCUUUGAUGUACAAGGCCAGUUUCUGAACACUCCAAUCCUAAUUGCCUGUCUCACUGCUUAAGAUCGUUAGCAUGAUGGCCAUUUGAGAUAAUGGAGCUUUAUACAGAGAGCUCGUGCUAAUCAACUGGAACUGUCUAAUGUCAAACGCUACAAGUGGUCAGUUUGUGUACGCACUGAACGAUGUUUAUGUGUUUGUGUGAAUAUGCAGCCUUAGGAGCCUACGGGAGGAGAGGAAAGCGGAGCCUUCAAAAAACAGGGCUCAUCUGUCUCCAUGUGUUAUCCACCAUAUAACCCAACACAAAUCAAUUAUGUAUUACUUCCCAUAUAUUCAUAAUGUAUCAGAGAAUUUGCAACAUGUCCAUAUUUUUCUUAUUCGUUAUAUACUGAAUUGGGAGAUUUACAGUGUAUCUAUCUCCAGUGUAACUUGCGCAUCAUCAUAUACGAGACAUGCAGUGUACAUUCAUGUGCUUGCCAUUGGCUUGGCAGCACAUCCCCACUUGAAUGUGCAGUAUAAACUGUAUAUGUAUUUUCAGUGUUGGCCUGCAAUACUUUUCAACAGAGUACUUAGACUGAGCUAUGAUUCUCUCUUGACAUAGGAUUAUUUAAUCACUUAAUUAUUUAAUCAAGCAUGUAGCAAACUUGGGUUAGGUGAACACAUUAACUGGUGUCCUUCGGGACAGGGUUGCUAGGGAAAAGUUUUGACAUAAAAAAUUGAAACAGAAAGGGAAAGCAAAAUCCACAGAAUCAACUGCAAUAAUUCUGUAAAACCUAUUCCAAAAUAUGCAAUUAUUUUCAAAAACCAAGCUUAAUGCGUUUCUACAUUACAGUAUCUUUGUCAAAAUCUAGAGCAAUAUAGACAUGCGGGUUCUCGAUGUGUUUCUUUAUUUCGUCCACCCAAUUUAUACGAGUGAGGAUUGGCUAAAUACUGUGACAAAAAUACCUCUCUGUAUAAUGCAAUACAGCUCAGCAGCACCAGAAAACUACAAUGUCCAAAAUGAUCAUACAGUUGAAUUAGCAUCUCCAUAAAACAGUUUCAACACAAACGGAACAUUAUAACCUUAAUGAGUGUAGGAUUGAUUGCCGGGACCGUUGGAUUAGACUGCAUUAGUUUUAGCUCAGUGUACCUAACAAACUGCCAGCUAAUCAGCCAAUCACUUCUAGGUAGAACAAACGUUGUUUGUCCAUACCACUCAAAUGUUUGGGAAAGAAACCAUGAAACUAGAAUCUAAUUAAUAAAGUAGUUAUUUUACAUAAAAAGUUGUUCCUGUUGAUUUUGUGGACUUUCUUGCUCUCUUUUCGUGGGGCAUUUUGAAAAAAAAUUGUCACCAAGACAAUAAAUUAGUUUUAAAAGGAACAGAUUAUAGAUACACAGCAGUGGUUCCCUAACUGGGGGUCAUACCCGAGAGAAAUCUGAGUGGUCACAAGAUGAUUAAAGGCGGAAAAUAGAAAUACUUUUCUGUUACACAAAGAUAUGUUUUUAAAAAACUUUUUUCUGACUUUUUCUUGUUUCUUUUUUUUGUUUGUUUUUUCUUGCUUUUCUUGUUAAAUACAAGAUUCUUUUAGGUCUUAAUGCCUCUAACAAUAUUCCAAAUGAAACAGUCUAAGAAGGAAAAGCAUUGUUUGCUAUACUGUAACUGCUCACAACUUGAGUCAACAGUCAUUAGUUGUGAUGAAGGGUCACAAUUACUGUGGAUAUUACUUGAUUUUAAUGGGUUGACAAGCCAGAGAGGUUGGAAAUGGUUGUUAUACAGUAUAAAUUGAUCUUACAGGGUAAAACUGGGGAACCUGUGAUUCUUUUGUUAUUAUCUGAUGUGAGUGAAUUGGAUCUGAUUUCCGCAGCAGGGAAAAACCCAGGGUGUUCUUGUCAAACAAAGUUGCUUGGCUCAGCAUGGCAACCGACAGUGAGUGCAGACAGACCUUCGUGACAGUUCACCAUAGCGACUGGACUGAUGUGGAACCAUGUAUAGUUGAUUAGCAGCCCAUGUCUUAUUCAUUCUCCACAGGUUCAACGAUAAAAUCAAGCACAUUAAGAUUCUGACCAAGGAUGGCUGCUUUUACAUUGCUGAGAGUCGGCUGUUCAAGACUA